rnacentral:rRNA from 1 species
GGCGAACGCUGGCGGCGUGCCUAAUACAUGCAAGUCGAACGCUGAAGGAGGAGCUUGCUUCUCUGGAUGAGUUGCGAACGGGUGAGUAACGCGUAGGUAACCUGCCUGGUAGCGGGGGAUAACUAUUGGAAACGAUAGCUAAUACCGCAUAAGAGUAGAUGUUGCAUGACAUUUGCUUAAAAGGUGCAAUUGCAUCACUACCAGAUGGACCUGCGUUGUAUUAGCUAGUUGGUGGGGUAACGGCUUACCAAGGCGACGAUACAUAGCCGACCUGAGAGGGUGAUCGGCCACACUGGGACUGAGACACGGCCCAGACUCCUACGGGAGGCAGCAGUAGGGAAUCUUCGGCAAUGGACGGAAGUCUGACCGAGCAACGCCGCGUGAGUGAAGAAGGUUUUCGGAUCGUAAAGCUCUGUUGUAAGAGAAGAAAGAGUGUGAGAGUGGAAAGUUCACACUGUGACGGUAUCUUACCAGAAAGGGACGGCUAACUACGUG